UACGUAGGGUGCAAGCGUUGUCCGGAUUUAUUGGGCGUAAAGAGCUCGUAGGCGGUUUGGCAAGUCGGGUGUGAAACCUCCAGCUCAACCUGGAGACGCCACCCGAGACUGCUAUGACUUGAGUCUGGUAGGGGAUCACGGAAUUCUUGGUGUAGCGGUGAAAUGCAUAGAUAAUCAGGAGGAACACCGGUGGCGAAGGCGGUGAUCUGGGCCAGUACUGACGCUGAGGAGCGAAAGCGUGGGGAGCGAACAGG
rnacentral:rRNA from 1 species